GCAACAAGGCUAUUUAUACCCGUACACGCGACCGCCCCGGAUACUCGUGACCCUAGACCCCUCCCCGGGUGCAUGCAGGCACUGCCCAUUUUAUCCCACAUGAGUUACCUCUGGUUUUGGCUUUGCAGUCCUGUCCUGCUCUGAGGUUUGCUCUAAAUUACAUAAGAUCACUACUUUUUCUACAGAAAUCAAAAGGCAAAUCAGAUACUUACUUACAAUUUUUUCCUGUCAGGUUAACUGUUGAAAUAAGAAAGGUGCUUGCUUUCUGCUCUGUGCCUGGGUCCUCUAAUACCAACGGGCACAGAAGAGUCUACGACACAUACUAUGAUUUCCAUGGCAUUAAAACUCUUCCCUCUGCAAUGUUAGUCUACAUCCACAGAUCAGUCAGAUAGUGCAGCAUCCCAGAUAUUUGCCAGGACUACAAUACUUCCAGUAUUGUCUCUGCAU
rnacentral:lncRNA from 1 species